rnacentral:misc_RNA from 1 species
AACGCACGAGACCUGCGGACCUGCGGAAGGAUCAUUGAUGAGAAGCUGCCCCUCGUGGGUAGACCUCCCACCCUCUGUGAACUUACCUUUGUUGCUUUGGCAGGCCCGUCCUCUGGACCGCCGGCUUCGGCUGGCCCGUGCCUGCCAGAGGAUUCCAAACCCUGUCUGUCAGUGUUGUCUGAGUCUAUAUGAAAUCGUUAAAACUUUCAGCAACGGAUCUCUAGAUCGGAAGAGCACACG